GAAAGCCUGACGGAGCAACRCCGCGUGAGGGAKGAAGGCYYGUGGGUUGUAAACCYCUUUUCUCAGGGAAGAAGWUCUGACGGUACCUGAGGAAUCAGCAUCGGCUAACUCCGUGCCAGCAGCCGCGGUAAGACGGAGGAUGCAAGCGUUAUCCGGAAUUAUUGGGCGUAAAGCGUYCGUAGGCGGYUCAUMAAGUCUGCUGUUAAAGCUCRCAGCUCAACUGUGRAWCGGCAGUGGAAACUUCUMRRCUAGAGAAUGGUAGGGGUAAAGGGAAUUCCUAGUGUAGCGGUGAAAUGCGUAGAUAUUAGGAAGAACACCAGUGGCGAAG
rnacentral:rRNA from 1 species